CCUACGGGGGGCAGCAGUGGGGAAUAUUGGACAAUGGGGGCAACCCUGAUCCAGCCAUGCCGCGUGUGUGAAGAAGGCCCUCGGGUUGUAAAGCACUUUCAGUGAGGAAGAACGCCUGGUGGUUAAUACCCAUCAGGAAAGACAUCACUCACAGAAGAAGCACCGGCUAACUCCGUGCCAGCAGCCGCGGUAAUACGGAGGGUGCGAGCGUUAAUCGGAAUUACUGGGCGUAAAGCGCGCGUAGGUGGCUUGAUAAGCCGGUUGUGAAAGCCCCGGGCUCAACCUGGGAACGGCAUCCGGAACUGUCAAGCUAGAGUGCAGGAGAGGAAGGUAGAAUUCCCGGUGUAGCGGUGAAAUGCGUAGAGAUCGGGAGGAAUACCAGUGGCGAAGGCGGCCUUCUGGACUGACACUGACACUGAGAUGCGAAAGCGUGGGUAGCAAACAGGAUUAGAUACCCUAGUAGUC
rnacentral:rRNA from 1 species